rnacentral:rRNA from 1 species
CACGUAGGCGGUUCGGUUAGUCUGAUGUGAAAGCCCAUGACUUAAUCAUGGAAGUGCAUUGGAUACUGCCAGACUAGAGUACAGGAGGGGUGAGCGGAAUUCCAGGUGUAGAGGUGAAAUUCGUAGAUAUCUGGAGGAACAACGGCGGCGAAGGCGGCUCACUGGACUGUAACUGGCGCUGAGGUGCGAAAGCGUGGGGAGCGAACG